GCUCGUCGACUCGGUCGGUGACCAAUGAAGACGCCCGUGAAAAAACCUAGAUCGAGCAGUCAAAGGGAUCACGUCCUCCUCGUUCCAUCCACUCCCUCGCCUCCUUCUUCCUCCCCAUCCGGCGGCGCCUCCUUCCUCUUUCCCACGGCCUCCCGCAUCGUGCUGAGCCUCGCCGGCCGCUUCCCCCAGCCGGUGUCCCUCUCCAGAUGCAUCCUCCCCGAGAUUCGGGUACGGAGAGAGUCACGGUGGCAGGGGCAGAUGCGUGAGGACGAGGAGGCCAUGGUCAUGGUGGCGCGACGGAGGUCGUGGCUCGCCCCCCGCCGCCUCUCUCGUGCCCCCCUUUUCCCUACCCCCUCCCCGGCGUCCUUGCCUCUGCCAUGGCCUCCGCCCGAUUCCAGAUCGGCCGCAGGUCGAGGAGCGGUUGCUGUAGUGAGGGCAGCAGCGUGCAGAGGGGGAGAGGUCAAGGACGGUUGCCAGUUCAUGGAGGAGAGAUGCAACACAACGUUGAUUCCUACGCUGAGUUUUAGUGGUGGCAUGGUGUCCAUCUCCAGGCCGGUUGCAACCUUCUGCCCCCAUCAUUCCCUGUAUUUUUUUCAUAAUUUACACACUAAGUUGUAGAUUGGUCGGAUCUAUUGGCAUUAGGCAGCACAAGAAUAACAAUAGUUGUCAGCUUUUUCAUGUGCAGGUUCAGCAGCGGCAAUCCUCGAGAUAGAUUUAGGCCGAUCUGAAUAAACAGAGAUGAGCAGCAGCAGGGUUGGGUGCUCCAUUUGUAUGCGUUGCAUUGGUUAAUUUUGUUGUGCUCAUGUUUCUGUUUCAUGCUAUUGUCCACGAGUUCUACUUGUUGCUUAUUUCCAAUUAAGUACUUAGUUCCAUAAUGCUCUGGCCAACCUAUUUUAUUGCAACAUUUGUGGUUCUUUUGUGCCAGAUUAGGUGUUUGUAUUUUUUUCCGAGUUCUUAUGGCAUACUUUCUUAAGAUUUUUAUUUGUGACACUUGCAGAAGUGCGGUUCAACAUUAGUUAGUAAUGCCCAGUAAGUUACUAAGGUGUUAUGUAACUGCAAUCCUUGAAAGCAGAGAUGAGAUAUCUAUCCAAUUCUACAUAUAUGGUUUAAAGUUCAUUGCGACAACCUUGCUCAUAUGUUUCGAUUACUACAGAGCAAGGUUGGUUUAAAGUUCAUUCUAAAAUUCUUCUCUUUGUUGUAUCAUUUCUACAUAUAUCCUUUAAAGUUAGAGAAAUUUAGAUGUGAAAUGCCCAGAGUAUUAUGUCACACUUUUAUCAGAUUGCCAAGUUGGUAGCCGCUUUUGCGAUUAUAAAUGUUUUUUUUCAGAGCGGCUGCUACUUCAGUGCCCAACUUUGAAGAAUGUACAUGCAUUUGGAUGCCAAGAUAUGUCGAUUGGUGCAAUUAGAACCCCAGGUGGCUAUGUUGUUGAUGGGGAUUAAUUAUUGUACUACCCGCAAGAAAAUAUUGUACUGACAUAUCUGAGAAUUUUAAUGAUCUAUCUGCAACCAGGUACCUGCCAUUCUCUGAUCCAUAUUCUAGAUGCUUCCAUUGCUACAACAUUCUCAAGCUAUAUUGCAAAGUUUGUUGCUUAUAUAGUUAUUACUAUUGGUCUAUAUGGUGUCGGCUGGAUGUGUGCCACCUGAAAGAUCUCAUUGUUUGUAACCAGGCAAUACAAACAUUCCAUUACUACCAGACAUGUCUUUCUUUGGAAUAUGAGGAGGGAGCUCUGUUGUUGUCAGUGGCUACAUCAUUUCGACCAGUGAUAUGGUUAAUCUUUGCGAUGUGGACCAAUGGCAUGAUCUGUACCUAAGGUUGGAGUUGCUGAAUUAGCUACUUCCUUUUGUGGAUGAUUAAUUAUUUGCAUGAAGGUUCAGAGAAUGGCCUCUAUUGCCUUACAGUCCAACUGAACACGUGAGAAAUUACUGAUGCGCAUGGAUGACAGCUUUCCCACGACGAAGCAAAAUUGCAGGACCUAUUAGGAUGCAUACCUGAAGGAGUGCAUCUACUGGCCCAGCUGAAAAUCGAUCUCUAUUUGGUUUAUGUAUUCUAUUUUUGCUCUCGGUUUUGUCUACCGCUCGUCCUUGGUAUGCUCAUCCAUCUUGCCUGCUUUGCUUGCCUCCUUCUCCUCUCCAAUUCAGGUUCUGCGAUCCCUUGUGUUGCUGCGUCCCGAUCUCCAGCUUUGUUGCAUCUCUGUUCUGCUCCUCGAGGUGCUCAACAGGAGAAGCACUCAAUAGGAGAAGCAGGAGCAGCGGAGCGUUCGCCUCGUUGCAGGUCGACUUCUGAUUUGGUUUAUCUAUGUCUGCAGGUUGUUUGAUAAAAAUCCAAAAAGGCUGACAUGGUAGAAUUAAUCUAUGUAAAUCGUGUGAUUUUAUUUUUCUAUAAUUUAGUUCCAGUCAAAGAUAACAAGUUAGUAGUCCCAUUAUUUUUUUGCAAUUUAGGUACUGAAGGAGAUCAGAAUGCUUUUAUUUCUAUUUACAUCAUGGGCUUUAUUAUAGAACAACCACAGUGGAGAAAAUUAUCUCAUAUUUAUUAAUAUCUUUUAUUGUUUGUGUUUAGUGAAUAAAAACUGCAGUAGAUUCCCACCUCUUAUUAUGGAUGCACAAGUGCUUCACAAUGUUUCGUUGCUGACAUCUUUGCCCUGUCUGUCUAGGUUAAAUGUCAGUGCUUCACAAUGCACUUUAUACUUUGCACGAUCUAACAAUGCAUGCCAGACUUCUGAUAAUUAUACAAUAGUAUGCAGCGAUGCUACUAAGACAUGCUGAAUGCGGAGUUUUAUUUUAUCUAUGGUGCGUGGACAAACAGAUGCCAGGGGCAUUGUUUCACACAACACCUACACCAAUGACCACUGGACAAGUGAAGUAAAGGGACUUGUGAACAACAUGAAAAACUUUCAGCCAUCUUUUGAUUACAUGGAAAUAUGCCUUUGAUGCAUCCGUGUUAUUAUUUACUGACCGACUGUGUUUAGCAACUUCAGUGUGUCGAUCAAAAUUACUACUCCCUCCAUUCGAAAAAGCUUGUCCCACGAAUGAUUGUAUGUAGCAUCAAGUGGUAGAUACAUCCAUUUGAGGAACAAGCUUUUCCGGAUCGAGGGAGUAUAUGAUGUAAUUGACCAAUAUCACUAAGAAGUGCUCCUGGACACAAAAUGCUCUAUAUUAUCAUGUCUUGAAUUUUCUAAUUGCAAACUCAAACAUUUGCAUUUUGUUCUUCA